GCCCGGCUAGCUCAAUCGGUAGAGCGUGAGACUCUUAGAAAAAAUCCUCACGAUUCUGACAAGAUCUCAAGGUUGUGGGUUCGACCCCCACGUCGGGCU